rnacentral:rRNA from 1 species
GACGAACGCUGGCGGCGUGCCUAAUACAUGCAAGUAGAACGCACAGUUUAUACCGUAGCUUGCUACACCAUAGACUGUGAGUUGCGAACGGGUGAGUAACGCGUAGGUAACCUGCCUGGUAGCGGGGGAUAACUAUUGGAAACGAUAGCUAAUACCGCAUAAUAUUGAUUAUUGCAUGAUAAUUGAUUGAAAGAUGCUAUUGCAUCACUACCAGAUGGACCUGCGUUGUAUUAGCUAGUAGGUGAGGUAACGGCUCACCUAGGCGACGAUACAUAGCCGACCUGAGAGGGUGAUCGGCCACACUGGGAAUGAGACACGGCCCAGACUCCUACGGGAGGCAGCAGUAGGGAAUCUUCGGCAAUGGACGAAAGUCUGACCGAGCAACGCCGCGUGAGUGAAGAAGGUUUUCGGAUCGUAAAGCUCUGUUGUAAGAGAAGAACGGGUGUGAGAGUGGAAAGUUCACACUGUGACGGUAUCUUACCAGAAAGGGACGGCUAACUACGUG